rnacentral:rRNA from 1 species
UGAGCAAUCUGCCCUUCUCUUCGGAAUAAGCGUUGGAAACGACGUCUAAUGCCGAAUACGACCUCCUUUCGCAUGAUCGGAGGUGGAAAGCUCCGGCGGAGAAGGAUGAGCUCGCGGCCUAUCAGCUAGUUGGUGUGGGUAAUGGCCCACCAAGGCGAUGACGGGUAGCCGGCCUGAGAGGGUGACCGGCCACACUGGGACUGAGACACGGCCCAGACUCCUACGGGAGCAG